rnacentral:rRNA from 1 species
AAUAGAUACCCGGGUAGUCCACGCCGUAAAUGAUGAGUGCUAAGUGUUAGAGGGGUUUCCGCCCUUUAGUGCUGCAGCUAACGCAUUAAGCACUCCGCCUGGGGAGUACGGUCGCAAGACUGAAACUCAAAGGAAUUGACGGGGGCCCGCACAAGCGGUGGAGCAUGUGGUUUAAUUCGAAGCAACGCGAAGAACCUUACCAGGUCUUGACAUCCUCUGACAACUCUAGAGACAGAGCGUUCCCCUUCGGGGGACAGAGUGACAGGUGGUGCAUGGUUGUCGUCAGCUCGUGUCGUGAGAUGUUGGGUUAAGUCCCGCAACGAGCGCAACCCUUGAUCUUAGUUGCCAGCAUUCAGUUGGGCACUCUAAGGUGACUGCCGGUGACAAACCGGAGGAAGGUGGGGAUGACGUCAAAUCAUCAUGCCCCUUAUGACCUGGGCUACACACGUGCUACAAUGGAUGGUACAAAGGGCUGCAAGACCGCGAGGUCAAGCCAAUCCCAUAAAACCAUUCUCAGUUCGGAUUGU